rnacentral:rRNA from 1 species
UAAGGAAUAUUGGUCAAUGGAGGGAACUCUGAACCAGCCAUGCCGCGUGUACGAAGAAGGCCCUUCGGGUUGUAAAGUACUUUUAGAUGGGAAGAAUGGUCCUGAUUUAUCAGGGAAGCGACGGUACCAUCAGAAUAAGCACCGGCUAACUCCGUGCCAGCAGCCGCGGUAAUACGGAGGGUGCAAGCGUUAUCCGGAAUCACUGGGUUUAAAGGGUACGUAGGCGGCGGUAUAAGUCAGACGUUAAAGACCGGGGCUAAACCUCGGCACGCGUUUGAAACUGUACGGCUUGAAUAAGAUCGAGGUGCAUGGAAUGCUUCAUGUAGCGGUGAAAUGCAUAGAUAUGAAGUAGAACACCAAAUGCGAAGGCAGUGCACUAGGUCUUUAUUGACGCUGAGGUACGAAAGCGUGGGUAGCGAACAGGAUUAGAUACCCCUGUAGUCC